rnacentral:misc_RNA from 1 species
GAUGAAGAACGUAGCGAAAUGCGAUACGUAAUGUGAAUUGCAGAAUUCAGUGAAUCAUCGAGUCUUUGAUCGCACAUUGCGCCCUCUGGUAUUCCGGAGGGCAUGCCUGUCCGAGCGUCAUUGCUGCCCUCAAGCACGGCUUGUGUGUUGGGCUCCGUCCCCCGAUCCCGGGGGACGGGCCCGAAAGGCAGCGGCGGCACCGCGUCCGGUCCUCGAGCGUAUGGGGCUUUGUCACCCGCUCUGUAGGCCCGGCCGGCGCUUGCCGAUCAACCAAAUUUUUAUCCAGGUUGACCUCGGAUCAGGUAGGGAUACCCGCUGAACUUAAGCAUAUCAAUAAGCGGAGGA